rnacentral:tRNA from 1 species
AGGGGAGUAGUUUAAUUGGUAAAAUAAUGGUCUCCAAAACCAUCGUUAAGGGUUCAAGUCCCUUCUCCCUUG